rnacentral:misc_RNA from 1 species
UAACCGCAUAGCACGGAGGAAGUCCGUGCCGCACGGCAUACGCAUGGCUAUUCUGAAAUUUCGUGAUGGCGGCAUUUUAAUUCAACCAGAGAGGCCGUAUUAGCUCACUUGGCCAAUUAGCAUCGAUCAGUGGUGAAAUCUGACAACAUGGCGGAAUUCGACAAUGUCUAGAAUGGCACCCCUCGUCUAGUACACUCUAGUUUUGUGCAGGUUCGUAGCUACCGAAGAUCCUUUGCGCUCACUAAAGGUAAGCUGGGCCAGCUACACAGAGAUCUUCGCUGCAAUUGGACAGCAAACUCAAUGACCCUGUGGGCCUGACAUGCCCGGCUUUUCCUGGUACAGCACCAACAGUCUUCAAGUUGAUGGGCCAGCAGCUAUGCAAAGUAACAGCGUGAAGGCUUCUGCAUCACAAGGCCAGAAAGAAGAUUUGGCCUUGGUUCCACUACUGGGUAAUUCAAGGUUUGAAGAUGCCAGAAUUUAUGCACUGUUGCUCUAGGUUUGAAGAUGCCAGAAUUUAUGCACUGUUGCUCUGGACCCAUUUCUAUUUACAGGCUGGCACUUGAAGCUAAGCAGGGAAGGAUGGCUCGAAGGAAGAAGAAGCAUGGUGCAUACAAUGAGAACCUUUCCAGCCUGCCAUUAAAAGAGGCAUCACUGUUGCGGUGGCUACAUUACAGGAAGCACUGGCUUCCCUGCCUUUGGCCACAAAGGCGUUGACCUGGCGUCCUCCAGCCUGCUGACAAAGUCAAGAGUUUCUUCGGCACUGUGGCAAAGCUGUAUGUGCUCAUAAACUUUUCCUAGUACUGUCAUCACCUCACUGGAAGUCAUUAAGGGUAUACUGUCAACUUUGCUGUCAAACACAUUGAUGGCACUGCUUUACCCUUGCUCAUUCUGCAUCAUUUGAUUGUGCUUGUAUAAUUAAGAUUCUCUGCAGCAUCGAGAUUGUCAUCUGCUUCAGUGAAGUCUUGAAACACGCAAAAUAGGCCAAGUUUACUCUGUAUAAUUGGCCAUGAUUCUGGAUCCUCAGCUGUGUAUUGCAAGUCUUUAUGCGCUAUGUUCUCCUCUGUGUUUUCUGCUUUAUGGGGCGCCCUCUCACAGUGCUCUUUUCAAUGUCAUUCCAUGAGCCAGCUAGCAUUUCGGUUGCUGUUUUCACCUAUAUGGUUGUUUUGUCCUUCUGUAGCAUGUCAAACAGCAGCUGUUGAAUUAGUUGUACAGUGUGUUUAGUUUUGACAGCAUGUAGAACUCCUUGACCUUGAGGCUGUGGCAAAGAUGUGCAGCCUGAAGGGAAAUAACUCAGCUAAACACCUUUCAAUAGUGGUAGUUUCACCUCUGCGGAACAGCUGUCUAGAACCAUCAGAAUUCCUCCAAGGGAUUGAACCAACUUUUUUAUUAGGUCCAAAAAAGACGCGAGUGAACUCAGCGUCACCUGGUUAGGCCCACGCGGAGGCGGUCAAGUUAAACAUCACCACUCUCGUGCGGGCCCUUCUGGAUGGCCAGAAUUUGAGAGGUGAGGUCCUUGUUCGUUUCCUUUUGGUGGAAAGGGUAACCGGCAAAAGCAUUGCCCUGCAGAACAUGCUCGAAGUCUGCAUAACCACCACACAGAGGGCAAUCUGGGCUUGAGAACCAUUCGGGGUAUAUCGUGUGCAGUGCCGCAUGGCUCGGGUAGGUUCUUCUUUGAAGCAAUCUGAGAGUAACCGCUUGGGCCCUGCACAGCGAGGAGUGUGGCAGGGGCAGCACUCUUCUAGAGAGAUAAUGGUGCUUGCAUAUCUCGUACCUGCAGAGAGGCUCGGAUCGCCUAGGAAAUGGCGCGUUACCCAGCACACAGUCAGUCGAACCUCACGCGGCCGAGUGCGCAUCUUCGUUUGGAUUGCUCGAAGGACCCUCAAUGGUUCCAAAGUGUGCAGGAAACCAUACCAAUGAGCGAUUUUUAAGGUCUUUGGCUUUAUUGAGUAUCUGUAGGGCCUGGGGAGUUACCAUACCCAUCUGAAAUGCCUUGAUAGCAGCCUUGGAGUCUAAAUAGUGUCAUGCACACCUUCCAUCAAUGCAAGAGCAAUGGCGAGCUUCUCUGCAAUGCUGGAGCUGGAAGGGCCGAUGGUGCUGCAGUGGAUUGCUUCGGAAUCGCAGUCCAUGACCACUGUCGAGAAUGCUUCUUUAUCAGCAUACGAAGCGGCAUCUAGGAAGCAGGCUUGUUCAUUGUCCAAGCGAGGACUGAAACUUUAUUUUGGUUACUCAAACUUUUUCUUUUGCAGCUUAUGCUGGUGUUGGCUUUACUAUUAUUGUGCUUUAUAGCUUUUGAUAGUUUCAAAGUAAGCAAGACCACGAUGAUAGCCACAUUCAUGUUUUUAGGUAGAGUUGUUGUUGACGGGUCUUGAUAUUAGUAACUGUACACGCUGGCUAUCUUUCAGGUUUGUUGACUCAACAGAUGUGCUGCUGCAUUUUGAUUGCAAGCAUUGUGUGAUGAGCUUACACCGCAUGCUCAUGGUAUUCUUGGCUCCUUCAGCUGUCAUGGACGUGCAAGCGUGGUCUUGGUCAUUCUCUUGGCCGUAGACUUGAAAUGUUUCUGUGUGUUGCAUAACCAUUCUAGGUGCUUUUCAUCAUUGUUUUAUAACUGAAAAAUCACUGUACAUUUCCUGAAGUUGUGAAAAAUAAAUACUAGGACUUUCUCGCUAGUCCAGUCAGCGGUCAA